rnacentral:rRNA from 1 species
AGCGAACGCUGGCGGCAGGCCUAACACAUGCAAGUCGAACGAAGCCUUCGGGCUUAGUGGCGGACGGGUGAGUAACACGUGGGAACGUACCUUUUGGUUCGGAAUAACGCAGAGAAAUUUGCGCUAAUACCGAAUGAGCCCUUCGGGGGAAAGAUUUAUCGCCGAAAGAUCGGCCCGCGUUGGAUUAGGUAGUUGGUGUGGUAAAGGCGCACCAAGCCUACGAUCCAUAGCUGGUCUGAGAGGAUGAUCAGCCACACUGGGACUGGGACACGGCCCAGACUCCUACGGGAGGCAGCAGUGGGGAAUCUUGCGCAAUGGGCGAAAGCCUGACGCAGCCAUGCCGCGUGAAUGAUGAAGGUCUUAGGAUUGUAAAAUUCUUUUACCAGGGACGAUAAUGACGGUACCUGGAGAAAAAGCCCCGGCUAACUUCGUGCCAGCCGCCGCCGUAA